rnacentral:tRNA from 1 species
GGCCUUGUGGUCUAGUGGUAUGAUUCUCGCUUAGGGUGCGAGAGGUCCCGGAUUCGUCUCCGGCAAGGCCC